rnacentral:rRNA from 1 species
GAUGAACGCUGGCGGCGUGCCUAAUACAUGCAAGUCGAGCGAACAGACGAGGAGCUUGCUCCUCUGACGUUAGCGGCGGACGGGUGAGUAACACGUGGAUAACCUACCUAUAAGACUGGGAUAACUUCGGGAAACCGGAGCUAAUACCGGAUAAUAUAUUGAACCGCAUGGUUCAAUAGUGAAAGACGGUUUUGCUGUCACUUAUAGAUGGAUCCGCGCCGCAUUAGCUAGUUGGUAAGGUAACGGCUUACCAAGGCAACGAUGCGUAGCCGACCUGAGAGGGUGAUCGGCCACACUGGAACUGAGACACGGUCCAGACUCCUACGGGAGGCAGCAGUAGGGAAUCUUCCGCAAUGGGCGAAAGCCCGACGGAGCAACGCCGCGUGAGUGAUGAAGGUCUUCGGAUCGUAAAACUCUGUUAUUAGGGAAGAACAAAUGUGUAAGUAACUAUGCACGUCUUGACGGUACCUAAUCAGAAAACCACGGCUAACUACGUG